rnacentral:rRNA from 1 species
GAGUUUGAUCCUGGCUCAGAUUGAACGCUGGCGGCAUGCCUUACACAUGCAAGUCGAACGGCAGCAUGAUCUAGCUUGCUAGAUUGAUGGCGAGUGGCGAACGGGUGAGUAAUACAUCGGAACGUGCCCUGUAGUGGGGGAUAACUAGUCGAAAGAUUAGCUAAUACCGCAUACGACCUGAGGGUGAAAGUGGGGGACCGCAAGGCCUCAUGCUAUAGGAGCGGCCGAUGUCUGAUUAGCUAGUUGGUGGGGUAAAGGCCCACCAAGGCGACGAUCAGUAGCUGGUCUGAGAGGACGAUCGGCCACACUGGGACUGAGACACGGCCCAGACUCCUACGGGAGGCAGCAGUGGGGAAUUUUGGACAAUGGGCGAAAGCCUGAUCCAGCAAUGCCGCGUGUGUGAGAAGGCCUCGGUGUAAG